ACCGAGGAGGAUGGAGAGGGUCUUUACCUGCUUUACCUUUACCUGCCUCAUGCUGGAUUUCUUCAGGGGAGGUCCCCACACCAUUUCCACCAUUGUUAGGAUUGGCAGGCACUGUCGCGAGCAGCCCUGUGAAGUGGGGACAAAAGAAGAGUUGUGCAGUCAGUCUACCACACCCCCAUAGAGAACAAUUGAUAAUGAUAAUAUAAAAGACAACAAAGUCACUAUAUCGGCAAAGAAUCUCAGAAUAGGCGUACUGAUCUACGAUCAGGUCCGCCCUCCCUUAUUCAUUAUGAUUAAAAAUGCAAAACUGAUCCUAGAUCAGUAUGCCUAUUCUGAGACACUUUGAAUAGCUGAAUAGUUUAUCAUUGAAAUCAUUUGAAUAAGUACCAGAAAAUGGCUGAUUUUAAGUGGAUUUUCAGGCUAUUAGCUGUAGUUUCAGCAGGUUGUGCUCGGUGCUCACCCAGACCGCGGUAGCAGGAGAGCUGUUGGUAGAUCUGCGUCAUCCUCUGGAUGUUGAGGCGGCUGGCCUCGGUGUGGUGCACCAUGGGCUUGGGGUAAUGCAUGCCGAUCACGCACUUGGCUGCCUUCUGCACGCUCUCGGGCGCGUUCCAGGGGUCGAAGAUGUACUUGGCUGGGAAGGCCUUCAGUAUGGGCAGAUAGCGCCUGGAAGAACCAAACAGAGAAAUUACAUUGUUUAAAAAAAAAGAACCACAGUGACACACUUCUUCUGCAAUGAACAAUCGAGAAACAAAUGUACAUUUCUAGUGGGUACAGCAUGGACAUUUAACCAAGACUCUAUGAAGUGUAUGACAUGACCUCUAGCAGUUUGUCAUGGUAUUCUGCAUGUCCUACAUGUUGUCACAAGCAUGGUGAAAUAAAGCACUGAGGUCUAUUACUUUGAGAGUACUUCAAAGGGAAAAUAACUUGUGUACCACACUGGCUAAAUAUAGUGGAGGGGCGGACAACUGGGUGUAGGGAGGGUCUUCUCACCGUAUGUAGUCUCCGUUUGGGUCCGUCCUCCUGCCGAAGCCCACAGGGCAGUAGCAGUGGAAAAACUGCUGGAAGAAGGAGCUGCACGAGAGCCACAUCCAGCUGCCUGCAUUCACACUCCAGUCUGCAUCCAGGAGCAGCUCCUCAAAUACCUGACAGGUAAAUAAACACACACACGGUCAGAUAUCACAGUCAUACAUUUUCUACCUACUUGUCAUUUCGUCUCCCCACUCCCUCUAACAUCCCCUUCCUCCAGUAUCUACCUUCAUGCCCUCCUCCCAGCUGAUCCACAGGUCUCCUCUAGUGAGAAAGCAGGCCACAGCAUGUCUGGCCAGGUGGUGGAUCCAGCCCUCCUGCCUCAGCUGGGUCAUGAUGGCGUCAAUCCAGGGGAACCCUGUCCUCCCCUCGGCCCACUUGGCCAGUGCUUCCGGGUUGCGGUCCCAGGGGAUCUGCACACACACCGGAUUGCCCUCCAUUUUGUCAAAGCGGGGGUUGUUGGUGGCUGUGGUGUAGAAGAACUCGCGCCACAACAGCUGGCCAUAGAGCGAGAGGGGCGGAGAGCUGUUUUUCUUCACCUUCCUGUAGAGGUCAGUGAGUUUGAAGUAAAAGAGGCGACAGGAGAGGCAGCCGAAGCGGAGGUAGGGGCUGAGGCCCGUGGGGCUGGCCAGCAGGGAGUUGGCGUUCAUCCGGGGACGCUCAAAGUUGGCCACCCAUGCCUGGAACACAGAAGGUGCCUCUCCAGGCGAGUGAGGGCCUCCGUCUCUCCCCCCGGCCAUACUGCUGUAGCCAGGCCUUCGGUCUCAAAGCCAAGCUCCUCCAGGGAGGGUACGGCAAACUUGUCGUCAUGGUCAUCACUGAUGGGCGUGGCACACUUCCUCAUGACCUCAGCAGUGAUGGUCUCAGCGGGCGAUUCCACGGCAUCCAUGUGACUGAUGAGCGCCUGGAAACGCUUGUAGGUGAGAGGGGACUGGCCUCCGUUUAGCUCGAUGAUCCUACAGAGACACAUGGACAGACAUGGAGGUCGUAGAGCGUGUGGGAGACUUUGACAGUAACCUCCACACCGGCCUCGCUGGCCAACUUCUGGAUGGCGGCGUCACGUUCCUUGCCAAAGGGCUCAGAGUCGUACUCAUAAGACAGCUGUCUGGUCUGCCAUUCCUGGGAAGCAGAGAGAG